rnacentral:rRNA from 1 species
UACGGAGGGUGCAAGCGUUGUCCGGAAUCACUGGGCGUAAAGGGCGCGUAGGCGGCUCAUGAAGGCUGUGGUGAAAGUCCGGGGCUCAACCUCGGAUCGGCCGUGGCGACUCGUGGGCUGGAGCACUGUAGAGGCGGGUGGAAUUCCGGGUGUAGCGGUGGAAUGCGUAGAGAUCCGGAAGAACACCGGUGGCGAAGGCGGCCUGCUGGGCAGUAGCUGACGCUGAUGCGCGACAGCGUGGGGAGCAAACAGG